GUCUAUGGCCACACCACAUUGAACCUGCCUGAUUUCCUCUGAUCUCAGAAGCUAAGCAGAGUUGAGCCUGGUUAGUACUUUAAUGGGAGAAAGAAGUAGAAAGAGAAACAUCUGCAGCCCUGUUUC
rnacentral:rRNA from 1 species